GGAGCAUGUACUGCUGCUUCUACCCCCAGAUUCGUAAAAACCAAAAUGCUGUCUUCAUAAGGCAUGGAGAGUCCACCUGCAUUUGUGGCAGUGUUCUUUCCUUACUGAUCAGCAAAGCUGCUAGCAAAGCAUAUAUUUGGAAAGUGAUAGCAAAAAAAUAUAAUUGAAGAAAAUUUUAACUACACACAAUUUCGUUGUUGCUGCUGCACGGAAUCUCUGGAGCUGGCAAGGUUGAGCUGCAGUUGCACAGAACGCUCAGCACAUGGAGAUAGGACUGCGUCCCAGCGCUUCCAGAAGUACAAGAAUACUGUCUGUACUCGCAUUUCCUGUCUGAAUUGAUGCUAAAAUUUUUUUUCAAGUUGGAAAAAUAAUACAGUUUUAAUUUCAUUUGCAGCAAGCUUAAUAGAUUAAUUAGGAGAGCAUAAAUCUUUUAAAAAUUGAGUCUUCUUUCUCAACUGUAAGCAUUUCUUCACAAGCAAGUACCCAAAGAGAUCAUUUUUGCAGCACUAAGUAGCUACACAAGAAGUGACGGUUCAGAGGACUAGGCGAUUGGAUGACAUGCAAGUGAUUGGAAGGAAGAAGGUGCGCAGAGUGCCCCAGAAGGGCCGAGGAAGGAAGGCAGGCCACAGUCUCAUAUGGUCGUUACCCUGUGGACCAGAGGGUAUACAAAGCUUCUGCCAUGUUUGCAUCUGCAGCAUCACCCAGAUGUUGUCUUCAU